rnacentral:lncRNA from 1 species
CCGUUCCUGGCUGCUGCAUUCACCUCCAGCGUUUGUGAUGCCCCAGAGCACAGAACUCCAGGGAGCCCACGAUGCAGGAGAGUUCAGCGACAUUCACUGAGUACAAGAGAGCGCAGACAGAAGGCCGUGGCAUUCUGAGAAACACACAUGAUGAAGGAGCCCUGUCAUAUCCUCUCUUCCUUGCAUCGCUUCCCCGUGUGAGCAACCACUUGUGCUGGAAAUGAUGACAAGGAAGGACCGGGAAAGACAGGGCCACCCGCAGUUCCUUUUCCUUGACGUCUUUCCUUCCUCAUCAGCGAGCUGAGGUGGAGAGCGUUGGUAGAAUGUGUGCAUAAUAAGAAGUGAAAUAAAAACAGUCGAGUUAGUAUUCUACUGUUUCCACUGUUCUGGUGAGAACAAAACACAUAUGCUGUAUAUGCUUUGAAAUACAAAGUGUGUAAUUUUAGGACUGUUGGGAGGCACCAAUGGACUUUGCAACUGGAGAUCUCCCAACUGGACCAUGUCACUGUUAUGUUUAAUUUGCACUGUGCACAGUAGGUACCCAGUCAACGUUUGUCGAAUUCCAUGGACUGGGCCUUAUACCUCCGAGGAUUUUUCACAGCAGUAGCAUGUGCACAUGCACAGAACGAGAACACAACCAAUGCUUGUUUGCUGGUGAAGACCUGGUCUCAGUAUUUUGCCCAGGAAACCCUUUCUUCAUGGACAGCAUGAGGCAAGCUAUGGCCCUUGCUGUGGUCUCAGUGGUUCAGCACGGAAGAUGAAGAUGACGGGCAGUCUCAGAAUAUUAGCUUUAGAAGGGACUUUGGAUCCUUUUGAUUUUGGUAGGUGAAAUACUUUUUAAAAAUAAAGAAAACGGACUUUGG